GGUGCUGAGAGCAGGCCGUCUGUGAAGCGUUCGCUGUAUUGGUGUCGAAUAUAACACAGAUGGCCUGUCCUCGGUGCC
rnacentral:pre_miRNA from 1 species